rnacentral:lncRNA from 1 species
AUCUCACCAGCCUCCUCCAUGCCAGGCUCGGGCUCUUCCUGCUCCUGGAACAAGCUCCGGACUCGGGGCAUUCGCCGCAGAUGCUGCAUCUCCGAAGCUCUCGGCUGGUAGAGAGCAGCCGCCACAUGCUCUGGGGCGGCAGGGCUGAGCUGCCAAGAGCUCCUGGCCAUGACCUUGGUGCAUGGAGUCCAGAGGGGGCUGGGGAAGACCUUCUCUUCACACUCGAGGAUGCACACCUGCAAAGAUACGGGUUUCGAGGUGGGACUAACCCAGGAAGAUGCUACCAACGUAAGAUGGUCAACUGUGGUGUCUCUCACUUGAGAGUCCAAGGGUAUCAGCUGGCAGAAGCACACCCAAUGGCAUGGAAACUUCCAGCAACUUCUCACAGAUUCCACCCCCUGGCCUCCCUGCAAGAGGCAGACGUCAUUGUGAAUUUUGUGUUUGUUACUCCCUAUGUACAUGUAUCGUAAAUACCAUUUUGCUUGGUUGAUAUUUAUAUUUGCUAUUUUAAGCUUCAUAAAUCACAGGCAGCAAGCCUGCCUGUCCAUUCCAGAAGGAGACAUGGUCUUCAUGAUACUGCACAGCAUGCGCACCUGACUUGCUCUGGAAGGAGAUACUCUGUCUACCACAGGUUUUCACCGUACAGACAUCCUUGAAAAGAUACCCCGGAAGUAAGGGCUCUUUCUCAAGAUGUGCAGGACUUGAGCAGCUCAUGGGUAAGUGUCUGUCAACAGGAAUUCAUCAGCGAGCUACACAGGCCCGACCUCUUCUGCUCUCUGCAAGCUGACAUUUUAGUUGGGGAGACCGGACUUUGCAUAAACAAACUCAACAGACUGUCUUUAGUGCACUGAAGGAGUUAACAAAAGCAUCAAUGUGAGACUUUUUCAGGAAAACAUGACUAAGAUGGGAUGGUUGAGUGAGGCCUCUCUCAUUGGAGAGGCAAGCAAAAGUUACCAGCUGGUGGAAGCAGGCCGCAGGCAGCGAGAACCGCCUGCACGGCUGUUCAGAGGCACAGGAAGCGUGGUGUGUGUGGGAGCUGAAAGGCUGGUGGGUCUGGAAAGCAGCGAGCUGGGGAAAAAAAGAGGCUUGAGGCCCUGAAGCCAUGGUGAGCAGUCUGAGAUUUAUUGUGAAUGGGUAUAAAAGGGUUUUACACAGGGGAGUGAUAACAAUCUGAUUUGCAUUUUUGCUAGGCACACUUUGUUGCCCACACAGAAGGGAUUGGAGGGGCUUUUGAAAUCCUUGACAAGUCUCUGCUGUUUCUGAUUGAAUUUUUAAUCUAUUCAUUCAACCUGACAUCAGAUGGGCUUUGACUUCCACAUUCUCAGAAUUAAAACUGACUUCUAAAUGUUAUCGCAGAUUUGUCAGAGGUGCAAAGACCCCAGCCAAUGUGGGGCUGCAGAUUCCUUUAGGAUGGAAAGACAAGGGAAGGAAGUGGCAGCUGAGCUAUUUGGACUUCCUUAUGGUAUGCAGGCCUUCAUGCAAGGGAAUGGAAGAUGGCAUUCAGCUUGAAAGCUGUAUUGAGCAGGUAACCUCUGGGGAAAACAGCCAACGAUUUCAUGCUUUGAAAUCAAGCAGACUGAAGUCCAUGUGCUGGAUCCUACACAUUUGCUUUGGGGGUUUGGUUUGGAUCAGACCUCUAGGUUUUGUGGUGGAUGAAGGUGAACAGGUCAUGAUGGGGCCACUCCCAAGCUGGGGAUUUCUUGGAGGGCUCCCAUUGAACUCAAAAUAUGUACAGAUUUCCACACUUUGAGCCAUAGCCCAUCCAUGUUUUGUUUUAAUAUCAGC